GCCAUGGCCAAAGUCUAUCCUCACUGUUGUGUCUUCCUGUUUCCUGGAGAAACCAUCAAUUUCUGCUGUAUGAAGGGAAAAGUCAGGAUUGACAGGUAAACAGAACGGGGUGAAAUAAAAUCUAUAUAUAUUCCUUGUGACAGUCUACAAGAAAGAAUAAAGGACAUUAAUGAGCAAUUCAAAACAAAACAAAGGAAAAUGAAGAAGAAAAGAAACAUUGUGCUGAGUGGUAGGAGAAUGCUCCUGAACAUCAAAUAUUGUCAUGUGGAAAAGUUUCCUUCAGACCUGCGUGUUGGAGAGAGAGCCGUGUGGCUUUUGAGGAAAGAACUGUUAAGAAAACUAACUGGA